rnacentral:rRNA from 1 species
CGGCUCAGUAACACGUGGAUAACCUGCCCUUGGGUCCGGCAUAACCCCGGGAAACUGGGGAUAAUUCCGGAUAACGCACAUAUGCUGGAAUGCUUUAUGCGUCAAAUGGAUUCGUCCGCCCAAGGAUGGGUCUGCGGCCUAUCAGGUAGUAGUGGGUGUAAUGUACCUACUAGCCUACGACGGGUACGGGUUGUGAGAGCAAGAGCCCGGAGAUGGAUUCUGAGACAUGAAUCCAGGCCCUACGGGGCGCAGCAGGCGCGAAAACUUUACAAUGCGGGAAACCGUGAUAAGGGGACACCGAGUGCCAGCAUCAUAUGCUGGCUGUCCGGGUGUGUAAAAUACACCUGUUAGCAAGGGCCGGGCAAGACCGGUGCCAGCCGCCGCGGUAACACCGGCGGCCCGAGUGGUGAUCGUGAUUAUUGGGUCUAAAGGGUCCGUAGCCGGUUUGGUCAGUCCUCCGGGAAAUCUGACGGCUCAACCGUUAGGCUUUCGGGGGAUACUGCCAGACUUGGAACCGGGAGAGGUAAGAGGUACUACAGGGGUAGGAGUGAAAUCUUGUAAUCCCUGUGGGAC